AGCAGCCGCGGUAAUUCCAGCUCCAAUAGCGUAUAUUAAAGUUGUUGCAGUUAAAAAGCUCGUAGUUGAAUUUCGGGAUUGACGUGAUGGUCGUGCCUUAAGGGGCAUGAACUGUCGCAGUUGAUUUCUCACCUUCUGGAGAAGCUUGAUGUCCUUAAUUGGGUGUCAUGUGGAACCAGGACCUUUACCUUGAAAAAUUAGAGUGUUUAAAGCAGGCAUUUUGCUCGAAUACAUUAGCAUGGAAUAAUAGAAUAGGACGGCAUGGUUCUAUUUUGUUGGUUUCUAGGAUCACCGUAAUGAUUAAUAGGGAUAGUUGGGGGCAUUAGUAUUCAAUUGUCAGAGGUGAAAUUCUUGGAUUUAUUGAAGACUAACUACUGCGAAAGCAUUUGCCAAGGAUGUUUUCAUUAAUCAGGAACGAAAGUUAGGGGAUCGAAGACGAUCAGAUACCGUCGUAGUCUUAACCAUAAACUAUGCCGACUAGGAAUCAGACGAUGUUAAUUUUUAAUGACUUCG
rnacentral:rRNA from 1 species